rnacentral:misc_RNA from 1 species
GAUGAAGAACGUAGCGAAAUGCGAUAAGUAAUGUGAAUUGCAGAAUUCAGUGAAUCAUCGAAUCUUUGAACGCACAUUGCGCUCGCCAGUAUUCUGGCGGGCAUGCCUGUCUGAGCGUCAUUUCAACCCUCAUGCCCCUAGGGCGUGGUGUUGGGGAUCGGCCAAAGCCCGCGAGGGACGGCCGGCCCCUAAAUCUAGUGGCGGACCCGUCGUGGCCUCCUCUGCGAAGUAGUGAUAUUCCGCAUCGGAGAGCGAUGAGCCCCUGCCGUUAAACCCCCAACUUUCCAAGGUUGACCUCAGAUCAGGUAGGAAUACCCGCUGAACUUAAGCAUAUCAAUAAGCGGAGGA